rnacentral:tRNA from 1 species
GCCUGGGUGGCUCAGGUGGUUGAGCGUCCGACUUCGGCUCAGGUCAUGAUCUCGCGGUUUGUGAGUUCGAGCCUCGCGUCAGGCU